rnacentral:rRNA from 1 species
CCUACGGGAGGCAGCAGUGGGGAAUAUUGCACAAUGGGGGAAACCCUGAUGCAGCGACGCCGCGUGAGUGAAGAAGUAUUUCGGUAUGUAAAGCCCUAUCAGCAGGGAAGAAAAUGACGGGACCUGAUUAAGAAGCCCCGGCUAACUACGUGCCAGCAGCCGCGGUAAUACGUAGGGGGCAAGCGCUAUCCGGAUUUACUGGGUGUAAAGGGAGCGUAGACGGCAGUACAAGUCUAGAGUGAAAUGCCGGGGGUUAACCCCGGAACUGCUUUGGAAACUGUGCAGCUAGAGUGCAGGAGAGGUAAGUGGAAUUCCUGGUGUAGCGGUGAAAUGCGUAGAUAUUAGGAGGAACACCAGUGGCGAAGGCGGCUUUCUGGACUGUAACUGACGUUGAGGCUCGAAAGCGUGGGGAGCAAACAGGAUUAGAUACCCCAGUAGUC